UACGGGGGGGGUAAGCGUUGUUCGGAAUUACUGGGCGUAAAGGGCUCGUAGGCGGCCAACUAAGUCAGACGUGAAAUCCCUCAGCUUAACUGGGGAACUGCGUCUGAUACUGGAUGGCUUGGAUUCGGGAGAGGAAUGCGGAAUUCCAGGUGUAGCGGUGAAAUGCGUAGAUAUCUGGAGGAACACCGGUGGCGAAGGCGGCAUCCUGGACCAAUACUGACGCUGAGGAGCGAAAGCCAGGGGAGCAAACGGG
rnacentral:rRNA from 1 species